GCUGUGGCUCAGUGGUAGAGUAUCCAUUUGACAUGCAGAAAGUCCCAGGAUCAAUCAUUGGCAUAUCCA
rnacentral:tRNA from 1 species